CCUACGGGUGGCAGCAGUGAGGAAUAUUGGUCAAUGGGCGCGAGCCUGACCCAGCAACGUAGCGUGAAGGAUGACUGCCCUAUGGGUUGUAAACUUCUUUUAUAUGGGAAUAAAAUGUUCCACGUGUGGGAUUUUGUAUGUCGCAUAUGAAUAAGGAUCGGCUAACUCCGUGCCAGCAGCCGCGGUAAUACGGAGGAUCCGAACGUUAUCCGGAUUUAUUGGGUUUAAAGGGAGCGUAGGUGGUUUGGUAAGUCAGUUGUGAAAGUUUGCGGCUCAACCGUAAAAUUGCAGUUGAAACUGGCAGUCUUGAGUACAGUAGAGGUGGGCGGAAUUCGUGGUGUAGCGGUGAAAUGCUUAGAUAUCACGAAGAACUCCGAUUGCGAAGGCAGUUCACUGGACUGCAACUGACACUGAGGCUCGAAAGUGUGGGGAUCAAACAGGAUUAGAUACCCUGGUAGUC
rnacentral:rRNA from 1 species